GAGCUGUCAGCUCACAGUUGUGUCCUGUCCCAGGUGCAGCUGCAGGAGUCAGGCCCGGGACUGGUGAAGCCCUCGCAGACCCUCUCCCUCACCUGCACUGUGUCUGGUUACUCCAUCGCCAGUAAUUACUGCUGGAGCUGGAUCUGCCAGCCCCAAGGUAAGGAGACUGAGUGAAUGGGGU